rnacentral:rRNA from 1 species
UACGUAGGUGGCAAGCGUUGUCCGGAUUUACUGGGCGUAAAGAGCGCGCAGGCGGUCGUUCAAGUCGCGUGUGAAAGCCCCCGGCUCAACUGGGGAGGGUCACGCGAUACUGAUCGACUCGAAGGCAGGAGAGGGUAGUGGAAUUCCCGGUGUAGUGGUGAAAUGCGCAGAUAUCGGGAGGAACACCAAUUGCGAAGGCAGCUCGCUGGGACGGUACUGACGCUGAGGCGCGAAAGCGUGGGGAGCAAACAGG